UGGGGAAUAUUGGACAAUGGGCGAAAGCCUGAUCCAGCCAUGCCGCGUGUGUGAAGAAGGUCUUCGGAUUGUAAAGCACUUUAAGUUGNGAGGAAGGGCAGUAAGUUAAUACCUUGCUGUUUUGACGUUACCAACGGAAUAUGCACCGGCUAACUUCGUGCCACCGGCCGCGGUAUUACGAAGGGUGCAAGCGUUAAUCGGAAUUACUGGCGGUAAAGGGGGGGUAGGGGGUUCAGCAAGUUGGAUGUGAAAUCCCCGGGCUCAACCUGGGAACUGCAUCCAAAACUACUGAGCUAGAGUACGGAAGAGGGUGGUGGAAUUUCCUGUGUGGGGGUGAAAUGCGUAGAUAUAGGAAGGAACACCAGUGGCGAAGGGGACCCCCUGGACUGAUACUGACACUGAGGUGCGAAAAGCUGGGGGGGCAAACGGGAUUAGAUACCCUGGUAGUCCACGGCCGUAAAACGAUGUCGACUAGCCGUUGGGAUCCAUUGAGACCUUAGUGGNNCGNUUAANGCGAUAAGNCGACCGCCUGGGGAGUACGGCCGCAAGNUUA
rnacentral:rRNA from 1 species